AAUCAACAGGGGUGCCGGCGCGAAAACCGGCUGAGAUUGGGAUAGAUGUUUCCCUGACUCUUUUACCUGAUACGGAUAAUGCCGUCGUAGGGAGCUU
rnacentral:ncRNA from 1 species